rnacentral:tRNA from 1 species
GCUCGGAUGGUGAAAUUGGUAGACACGCUGGACUUAAAAUCCAGUGAACAGUAAUGUUCGUGCGGGUUCAAUUCUCUCUCUGAGUACUA